rnacentral:rRNA from 1 species
GGGUUGUGAGGUUAAGCGACUAAGCGUACACGGUGGAUGCCCUGGCAGUCAGAGGCGAUGAAGGACGUGCUAAUCUGCGAAAAGCGUCGGUAAGGUGAUAUGAACCGUUAUAACCGGCGAUGUCCGAAUGGGGAAACCCAGUGCAAUUCGUUGCACUAUCGUUAACUGAAUACAUAGGUUAACGAGGCGAACCGGGGGAACUGAAACAUCUAAGUACCCCGAGGAAAAGAAAUCAACCGAGAUUCCCCCAGUAGCGGCGAGCGAACGGGGAGCAGCCCAGAGUCUGAAUCAGCUUGUGUGUUAGUGGAACGGUCUGGAAAGUCCGACGGUACAGGGUGAUAGUCCCGUACACCAAAAUGCACAGGCUGUGAACUCGAAGAGUAGGGCGGGACACGUGGUAUCCUGUCUGAAUAUGGGGGGACCAUCCUCCAAGGCUAAAUACUCCUGACUGACCGAUAGUGAACCAGUACCGUGAGGGAAAGGCGAAAAGAACCCCGGCGAGGGGAGUGAAAAAGAACCUGAAACCGUGUACGUACAAGCAGUGGGAGCACCUUCGGGUGUGACUGCGUACCUUUUGUAUAAUGGGUCAGCGACUUAUAUUCUGUAGCAAGGUUAACCGUAUAGGGGAGCCGCAGGGAAACCGAGUCUUAACUGGGCGUUAAGUUGCAGGGUAUAGACCCGAAACCCGGUGAUCUAGCCAUGGGCAGGUUGAAGGUUGGGUAACACUAACUGGAGGACCGAACCGACUAAUGUUGAAAAAUUAGCGGAUGACUUGUGGCUGGGGGUGAAAGGCCAAUCAAACCGGGAGAUAGCUGGUUCUCCCCGAAAGCUAUUUAGGUAGCGCCUCGUGAACUCAUCUUCGGGGGUAGAGCACUGUUUCGGCUAGGGGGUCAUCCCGACUUACCAACCCGAUGCAAACUACGAAUACCGAAGAAUGUUAUCACGGGAGACACACGGCGGGUGCUAACGUCCGUCGUGAAGAGGGAAACAACCCAGACCGCCAGCUAAGGUCCCAAAGUCAUGGUUAAGUGGGAAACGAUGUGGGAAGGCACAGACAGCCAGGAUGUUGGCUUAGAAGCAGCCAUCAUUUAAAGAAAGCGUAAUAGCUCACUGGUCGAGUCGGCCUGCGCGGAAGAUGUAACGGGGCUAAACCAUGCACCGAAGCUGCGGCAGCGACACUAUGUGUUGUUGGGUAGGGGAGCGUUCUGUAAGCCUGCGAAGGUGACCUGUGAGGGUUGCUGGAGGUAUCAGAAGUGCGAAUGCUGACAUAAGUAACGAUAAAGCGGGUGAAAAGCCCGCUCGCCGGAAGACCAAGGGUUCCUGUCCAACGUUAAUCGGGGCAGGGUGAGUCGACCCCUAAGGCGAGGCCGAAAGGCGUAGUCGAUGGGAAACAGGUUAAUAUUCCUGUACUUGGUGUUACUGCGAAGGGGGGACGGAGAAGGCUAUGUUAGCCGGGCGACGGUUGUCCCGGUUUAAGCAUGUAGGCUGGUUAUCCAGGCAAAUCCGGAUAAUCAAGGCUGAGGUGUGAUGACGAGGCACUACGGUGCUGAAGUAACAAAUGCCCUGCUUCCAGGAAAAGCCUCUAAGCAUCAGGUAACAUCAAAUCGUACCCCAAACCGACACAGGUGGUCAGGUAGAGAAUACCAAGGCGCUUGAGAGAACUCGGGUGAAGGAACUAGGCAAAAUGGUGCCGUAACUUCGGGAGAAGGCACGCUGGUGUGUAGGUGAAGCCCCUGCGGGUGGAGCUGAGACCAGUCGAAGAUACCAGCUGGCUGCAACUGUUUAUUAAAAACACAGCACUGUGCAAACACGAAAGUGGACGUAUACGGUGUGACGCCUGCCCGGUGCCGGAAGGUUAAUUGAUGGGGUUAUCCGUAAGGAGAAGCUCUUGAUCGAAGCCCCGGUAAACGGCGGCCGUAACUAUAACGGUCCUAAGGUAGCGAAAUUCCUUGUCGGGUAAGUUCCGACCUGCACGAAUGGCGUAAUGAUGGCCAGGCUGUCUCCACCCGAGACUCAGUGAAAUUGAACUCGCUGUGAAGAUGCAGUGUACCCGCGGCAAGACGGAAAGACCCCGUGAACCUUUACUAUAGCUUGACACUGAACAUUGAGCCUUGAUGUGUAGGAUAGGUGGGAGGCUUUGAAGCGUGGACGCCAGUCUGCGUGGAGCCAACCUUGAAAUACCACCCUUUAAUGUUUGAUGUUCUAACGUUGGCCCCUUACCGGGGUUGCGGACAGUGUCUGGUGGGUAGUUUGACUGGGGCGGUCUCCUCCCAAAGCGUAACGGAGGAGCACGAAGGUUAGCUAAUCCUGGUCGGACAUCAGGAGGUUAGUGCAAUGGCAUAAGCUAGCUUGACUGCGAGCGUGACGGCGCGAGCAGGUGCGAAAGCAGGUCAUAGUGAUCCGGUGGUUCUGAAUGGAAGGGCCAUCGCUCAACGGAUAAAAGGUACUCCGGGGAUAACAGGCUGAUACCGCCCAAGAGUUCAUAUCGACGGCGGUGUUUGGCACCUCGAUGUCGGCUCAUCACAUCCUGGGGCUGAAGUAGGUCCCAAGGGUAUGGCUGUUCGCCAUUUAAAGUGGUACGCGAGCUGGGUUUAGAACGUCGUGAGACAGUUCGGUCCCUAUCUGCCGUGGGCGCUGGAGAAUUGAGGGGGGCUGCUCCUAGUACGAGAGGACCGGAGUGGACGCAUCACUGGUGUUCGGGUUGUCAUGCCAAUGGCACUGCCCGGUAGCUAAAUGCGGAAGAGAUAAGUGCUGAAAGCAUCUAAGCACGAAACUUGCCCCGAGAUGAGUUCUCCCUGAGACUUUAAGUCUCCUGAAGGAACGUUAAAGACGAUGACGUUGAUAGGCCGGGUGUGUAAGCGCAGCGAUGCGUUGAGCUAACCGGUACUAAUGAACCGUGAGGCUUAACCUUACAACGCCGAAG